CGAGUUUGAUCAUGGCUCAGGAUGAACGCUGGCGGCGUGCUUAAUACAUGCAAGUCGAACGGACAGUAGCAAUACUGUUAGUGGCGAACGGGUGAGUAACACGUGGAUGACCUGCCCCGAAGUGUGGGAUAACAGUUCGAAAGGACUGCUAAUACCGCAUGUGGUCAGAGGGUUUAGAAGCUUCUGACUAAAGGAUUAAUUCGCUUCGGGAGGGAUCUGCGUCCCAUCAGCUAGUUGGUGAGGUAACGGCUCACCAAGGCGACGACGGGUAGGGGGCCUGAGAGGGUGAUCCCCCACACUGGCACUGAAACACGGGCCAGACACCUACGGGUGGCAGCAGUAGGGAAUAUUGCACAAUGGGCGCAAGCCUGAUGCAGCAACGCCGCGUGCGCGAUGAAGGCCUUCGGUCGUAAAGCGCUUUCUUGGAGGACGAGGAAGGACGGUACUCCAGGAAUAAGGCUCGGCUAACUACGUG
rnacentral:rRNA from 1 species